rnacentral:misc_RNA from 1 species
UUUCCGUAGGUGAACCUGCGGAAGGAUCAUUAUUGUAUAACCGAGGUGCGAGGGCUGUCGCUGACCCGAAAGGUCGUGCACGCCCGAGUGCCCUCACACACAUCCAUGUCACCCCUAUGUGCACCACCGCGUGGGUCCCCCUUUGGCUUGUUCGGAGGGGGGCUUACGUUUUCACACAAACUUUGUAUGCAGUGUAGAAUGUAUUUUUUGUUUUUGCGAUCACGCAAUCAAUACAACUUUCAACAACGGAUCUCUUGGCUCUC